CUUGCACCGGGUGGAUGAGUGGCGAACGGGUGAGUAACACGUGAGUAACCUGCCCCUGACUUCGGGAUAAGCCCGGGAAACUGGGUCUAAUACCGGAUACGACUGCCGGACGCAUGUCUGGUGGUGGAAAGUUUUUUCGGUUGGGGAUGGGCUCGCGGCCUAUCAGUUUGUUGGUGAGGUAAUGGCUCACCAAGACGACGACGGGUAGCCGGCCUGAGAGGGCGACCGGCCACACUGGGACUGAGACACGGCCCAGACUCCUACGGGGGGCAGCAGAG
rnacentral:rRNA from 1 species